rnacentral:lncRNA from 1 species
AAAUACCCAAGCUACUUUGAUGAAUUUCUAUUCCCAGGAAGUAAGUAGCCUCCCCGAGAUCAGACAUCUCGAAUUCUUUUUCCAAUUUCAGCUUAAACUCCAUCAUCUUCUUUUUGUUGCUGCCUGUCACCAGUAUAUCAUCAACAUAUACUGCAGUGAUUAACUUGUCCUCUUCUCUAUUCACGUACAGUGUAGUCUCUGUGCUGC